rnacentral:rRNA from 1 species
GACGAACGCUGGCGGCGUGCCUAAUACAUGCAAGUCGAGCGCAGGAAACUGACGGAACUCUUCGGAGGGAAGGCAGUGGAAUGAGCGGCGGACGGGUGAGUAACACGUAAGGAACCUGCCUCAAGGAUUGGGAUAACCCCGAGAAAUCGGAGCUAAUACCGGAUAGUUCAACGGACCGCAUGGUCCGCUGAUGAAAGGCGCUGCGGCGUCCCCUUGAGAUGGCCCUGCGGUGCAUUAGCUAGUUGGUGGGGUAAUGGGCCACCAAGGCGACGAUGCAUAGCCGACCUGAGAGGGUGAUCGGCCACACUGGGACUGAGACACGGCCCAGACUCCUAAGGGGGGCAGCAGUAGGGAAUCUUCCACAAUGGACGAAAGUCUGAUGGAGCAACGCCGCGUGAGUGAUGAAGGUUUUCGGAUCGUAAAACUCUGUUGUAAGGGAAGAACACGUACGAGAGGAAAUGCUCGUACCUUGACGGUACCUUACGAGAAAGCCACGGCUAACUACGUGCCAGCCGCCGCCGUAA